AUGGAAUUACAAAGCACAUUCUGGUCUCCGAGACUUUUUCCUCGGAAUUUUCUAGGAAACGGGGUUGCAGGGUGCGGGUGCGGGCCGCCUCCAGCCGAGCUGCGGCAGAGCAAGGAUCCCAGGGGCUGUUGUCUCAGGAUGCUUUCGGGCCCCUGCGGUCCUGAGGGCCUGACCCCAGGGCCUCCCGCUGUGGGGCCUGGCAGGAGGGUCCCCAGGGCCUUCCCUGGGGGCUUCUGUGGGGAGAUGCCCUGGUGCUGGGAAGCCCCACUCGCGGGCUGCUCCGGCCGUGGCCGUGGCCGUGGCCGUGGCCGUGGGGGUGGCGGAUGGCGGGAGUUCCCACGGCACCUCGCCUCUGACCUCCUGGGCUCGGGCGGUGGCCCCACGGCAGCUCGGCCGCCUCUCGGGGUGGGGGUCCCGCCAGGCUCUCGAACACGGGCUGGCCUCUUGUCGGGUGGGUGGCGUGAGCGGCCAGCCGGGGACGGUGGGCUCGGCUCUCGGGGCCAGGGGCGGCGCAGGGUCGGGCUGGGCUGGGCUAUGCUUUGGGGGGGGCACCACCCAGGCCCCCCUGCCAUCACCGUGUGCGUCACGGCCCGCCUUCCCGCUGACCUGAGGUGGUGGGAGCACUCAGACGGGGCUGUGGGAGGUGCUGGGCACAGUGGGGCUCCCAGGGCCCCCCUGGAGGUGUCGGGGCCACCCCUGCCCUGGACCCCGUGUCUCCUCCUCCUGGACGCUUCUGCAAACCCAGGUGCCCUUGGCAGCAGGAGCACUCAGCUCCUCCGACCCCCCGACCUGCGGCCCCCCUUGCCUGUGCACCCCCGCCUGCCCUGCCUCAGCGCGGCCCCUGUGUUCGCCGUGUGUGGCGGGGGCGGUUCCCCUCACCUGCCCCAGGUCCCCCCACCAAACCUCAGCCGGGUUCCGCGAAUCUCCGCACGCUGUGAGCCCCUCACCCCCGGCACCCGGUGCAGCCGCGUCCACCCGUCCCCCUGGCCCGGCCCUGGACGGGCGGUGUGGGGGGUGCGCGCCCCAUCUGCUCUGCGCGGGCACCUGAGUGCACGUGUCCAGCCGCCUGCCCCGACUGCUGCGUCCCCGAGGCCGAGGAGCCCUGCACCGAGGACCGUGCGCUGUCCCGUCUGGGGGAGCACAGACCCUCGCGGCCGCCUGGACGUCUGCCUGCAAAUCCUCCGGGCUCAGCCCCCUGGGAGCCGGGCUCACAAAGGGGGCUCCCCGGGGGCCAUGCUCCCUGCCCGACCCCUGCGCCACAGCGAGUCCCCGUGUGUGGGGUUCCCGAUUCUGUCAUCCUAG
rnacentral:lncRNA from 1 species